UCUACGGGUGGCAGCAGUGAGGAAUAUUGGUCCAUGGGCGAGAGCCUGAACCAGCCAAGUCGCGUGAGGGAGUACUGCCCUAUGGGUUGUAAACCUCUUUUGUCGGGGAGCAAAAGCCGGACGUGUCCGGCUGUGAGAGUACCCGAAGAAAAAGCAUCGGCUAACUCAGUGCCAGCAGCCGCGGUAAUACGGCGGAUGCGAGCGUUAUCCGGAUUUAUUGGGUUUAAAGGGGGCGCAGGCGGAUUUUUAAGGCAGCGGUCAAAUCGUGGGGGUCAAACCCAUCCAGCCGUUGAAACUGUGGAUCUAGAGUGUGCUAGAGGUAUGCGGAAUGCGUGGUGUAGC
rnacentral:rRNA from 1 species